rnacentral:tRNA from 1 species
GGUGUGGCUCAGUGGUAGAGUACUUGCCUAGCAGGCAUGAGACCUAGGUUCCAUCCCAGCACC